rnacentral:rRNA from 1 species
AUUGAACGCUGGCGGCAGGCCUAACACAUGCAAGUCGAGCGGAUGAAGGGAGCUUGCUCCUGGAUUCAGCGGCGGACGGGUGAGUAAUGCCUAGGAAUCUGCCUGGUAGUGGGGGAUAACGUCCGGAAACGGGCGCUAAUACCGCAUACGUCCUGAGAGAGAAAGUGGGGGAUCUUCGGACCUCACGCUAUCAGAUGAGCCUAGGUCGGAUUAGCUAGUUGGUGGGGUAAAGGCCUACCAAGGCGACGAUCCGUAACUGGUCUGAGAGGAUGAUCUGUCACACUGGAACUGAGACACGGUCCAGACUCCUACGGGAGGCAGCAGUGGGGAAUAUUGGACAAUGGGCGAAAGCCUGAUCCAGCCAUGCCGCGUGUGUGAAGAAGGUCUUCGGAUUGUAAAGCACUUUAAGUUGGGAGGAAGGGCAGUAAGUUAAUACCUUGCUGUUUUGACGUUACCAACAGAAUAAGCACCGGCUAACUUCGUG